rnacentral:rRNA from 1 species
GACGACGCUGGCGGCAGGCCUAACACAUGCAAGUCGAGCGAGCGGCGGGCGGGUAAGGAAUGUAUGGGGUUCUGCCCGAUAGAGGGGGAUAACUGCUGGAAACUGUGGCUAAUACCGCAUACGAUAGGAGGAACCCAUAUGGGAUUAGCUGGUAGGUGGGGUAAAGGCUCACCUAGGCGACGAUCUCUAGCGGGUCUGAGAGGAUGAUCAGCCACACUGGAACUGAGACACGGCCCAGACUCCUACGGGAGGCAGCAGUGGGGAAUAUUGCACAAUGGGCGCAAGCCUGAUGCAGCCAUGCCGCGUGUGUGAAGAAGGCCUUCGGGUUGUAAAGUACUUUCAGCGGGGAGGCGUUACCCGCAGAAGAAGCACCGGCUAACUCCGUGCCAGCAGCCGCGGUAAUUC